rnacentral:rRNA from 1 species
UUUUCGGAUCGUAAAGCUCUGUUGUUAGGGAAGAACAAGUACCGUUCGAAUAGGGCGGUACCUUGACGGUACCUAACCAGAAAGCCACGGCUAACUACGUGCCAGCAGCCGCGGUAAUACGUAGGUGGCAAGCGUUGUCCGGAAUUAUUGGGCGUAAAGGGCUCGCAGGCGGUUUCUUAAGUCUGAUGUGAAAGCCCCCGGCUCAACCGGGGAGGGUCAUUGGAAACUGGGGAACUUGAGUGCAGAAGAGGAGAGUGGAAUUCCACGUGUAGCGGUGAAAUGCGUAGAGAUGUGGAGGAACACCAGUGGCGAAGGCGACUCUCUGGUCUGUAACUGACGCUGAGGAGCGAAAGCGUGGGGAGCGAACAGGAUUAGAUACCCUGGUAGUCCACGCCGUAAACGAUGAGUGCUAAGUGUUAGGGGGUUUCCGCCCCUUAGUGCUGCAGCUAACGCAUUAAGCACUCCGCCUGGGGAGUACGGUCGCAAGACUGAAACUCAAAGGAAUUGACGGGCGCCCGCACAACCGGUGGACCAUGUGGUUUAAUUCGAAGCAACGCGAAGAACCUUACCAGGUCUUGACAUCCUCUGACAAUCCUAGAGAUAGGACGUCCCCUUCGGGGGCAGAG